rnacentral:rRNA from 1 species
AGCUCCAAUAGCGUAUAUUAAAAUUGCUGCAGUUAAAGCGUCCGUAGUCGAAUUUCGUUCAACUUAGAUAGAUGCAGACGCAACUACGGUUGUAGUCUUGCGCUUCCUGAGUUGAACUUGGGGAGAAUUGAAGCAGCUCGCUUUUAUUUUCCCCCGUUACUUUGAGCAAAUUGGAGUGCUUCAAACAGGCUAUAGCUUGAACAGCUCAGCAUGGAAUAACAAGAUAGGACUUUGGUUCUUCUUGUUGGUGUCAUGAACCAAAUGUAAUGGUUGAUAAGGACAUACGGGGGCAUUUGUACUUGCUGGAGAGAGGUGAAAUUCUAAGACCUAGCAAAGACAAACAAGUGCGAAAGCAUUUGCCCAGUGUGUUCCUG